GACGAACGCUGGCGGCGUGCUUAACACAUGCAAGUCGAACGGAAAGGCCCUGCUUUUGUGGGGUGCUCGAGUGGCGAACGGGUGAGUAACACGUGAGUAACCUGCCCUUGACUUUGGGAUAACUUCAGGAAACUGGGGCUAAUACCGGAUAGGAGCUCCUGCUGCAUGGUGGGGGUUGGAAAGUUUCGGCGGUUGGGGAUGGACUCGCGGCUUAUCAGCUUGUUGGUGGGGUAGUGGCUUACCAAGGCUUUGACGGGUAGCCGGCCUGAGAGGGUGACCGGCCACAUUGGGACUGAGAGACGGACCAGACGGCUACGGGAGGCAGCAGUGGGGAGUAUUGCACAAUGGGCGGAAGCCUGAUGCAGCAACGCCGGGUGCGGGAUGACGGCCUUCGGGUUGUAAACCGCUUUCGCCUGUGACGAAGCGUGAGUGACGGUAAUGGGUAAAGAAGCACCGGCUAACUACGUG
rnacentral:rRNA from 1 species